UACGGGGGGUGCAAGCGUUGUUCGGAAUCAUUGGGCGUAAAGAGCGUGUAGGCGGCGUGAUAAGUCAGAUGUGAAAGCCCUGGGCUCAACCCAGGAAGUGCAUUUGAAACUGUCUUGCUUGAGUACGGGAGAGGGAAGAGGAAUUCCUGGUGUAGAGGUGAAAUUCGUAGAUAUCAGGAGGAACACCGGUGGCGAAGGCGACUUCCUGGCCCGAUACUGACGCUGAGACGCGAGAGCGUGGGGAGCAAACAGG
rnacentral:rRNA from 1 species